UACGUAGGGGGCAAGCGUUGUCCGGAUUCAUUGGGCGUAAAGAGCGUGUAGGCGGCCAGGUAGGUCGGUUGUGAAAACUGGAGGCUCAACCUUCAGAGGUCGACCGAAACCAUCUGGCUAGAGUCCGGGAGAGGAGAGUGGAAUUCCUGGUGUAGCGGUGAAAUGCGCAGAUAUCAAGAAGAACACCCGUGGCGAAAGCGGCUCUCUGGGCCUUACCUGACGCUCAGGCGCGAAAGCUAGGGGAGCGAACAGG
rnacentral:rRNA from 1 species